CCCAAAAAUCCCCAAAGGUUCAUCUAAAUGUCUAUAUCUUUCCACCCUCAUGUGAUUAACACGUUUUUAGUACGAAAUCAAUCUCAAAACUUCUAGAAUUUUUCCAGGUGGCAGCCAAAUCGAUUUUCAAAGAAUAUUCCUCAAGAAAUUCAUUGGGAAUUUAUUUGAUUUGGUACAAUGAAGGUACAAUUGUUCUCAAUUUCGAUUGGUGGAAAGGGAAUUUCAUUUUCUUCUCAAGAUUCCCAAAUUCAAAAUUCCUUCGAGAAUUCCAAAAUUGAGUACAUGAACAUGUUUAAAUUUGGUCCUCAUCCAAAAAUUUGAAAAGAUCUCACUUCAAAUAUUUCAAAAUUACCCCUGAAAUUCCCUAUCACACAUCAUUAGAGGGCAGAAGCUGAAC
rnacentral:lncRNA from 1 species